ensembl:ribozyme RNase_MRP RNase MRP
GGGCAUUCAGAAGGCUUGCACUCUGAGCUACACACAGAGAACAUGUUUCUCAACAAUUUGCUCAGGGGAAAGUCCCCGGACACAAAGCAGAAAGUGCACCGCGUAGAGCGGCUGUCGACUCGGUAGGCUACCUUGAGCGGAGACGUUCACAUGGAACUGAGCUUGGCACCGCUGAGUCGACUUCGUCACAUACAACAGGAAUGCAAGAGUGCAACAAUGCGUUGACUGAACGGGGCUUAAUCUCCGAAUGCA